CAUUCCCCUCAAAUCAUUUUCUCUACUCAGCUCCUCUCUCUAUCCGUAUUCACUCAUCCCUUUACCUAUUUCUCUCUCCAUCUUCAUCUCUUAUAGAUGAGAGGCUAUUGGAGAAAUUACCAUUUUGUUUGACCACAAUGACCCGGUAUGCUGCUUAGAAACUUCCAACAUUUAUUUUAGAUUUCACACGGAUACUUCAAUGAAGAAAGCAUCGUUGGUUCUUUGAAAGUUCUAAGAGUUUCUGGGUAUACCGAAAACAAGCCACCUUUAAAGGCUCCUCUUGCUUUACAUUCACCCUCUUCCUAAUUUCUCAUUCACUUUCCUGACUUAUAUUCCAAUCCCUUCACAGUUUUCUUCCUCCUUCUUUCAGAUCUUUACAGCUGUUUGCUCAUAAAUCUCGAUGGCUCUUGUGACCUGCCAAGGAGCCUCAUCUUCUUCUUUCACUCACCAACCCAAAAAGUUUGACGUCUUCUUGAGUUUCAGAGGUGAAGAUACCCGUUUUGGUUUUAUAAGUCAUUUGAAUGAGGUUUUGCGAUCGAGGGGUAUUCACACCUUCAUCGAUGAUAAGCUUCCAAGAGGAGAAAAAAUUUUUACAGAGCUUCUCAAAACCAUUGAGAACUCAAUUAUGUCAAUAAUUGUAUUUUCUGAAAAUUAUGCGUCUUCCACUUGGUGUUUGGAUGAACUUGCCAAGAUUGUUGAGUGCAAAAACAAUGACCAGUUGGUGCGACCAGUUUUUUACAAGGUGGAUCCAUCAGAAAUUCGUAACCAAAAUGGAAAGUUUGGAGAAGCCCUAGCUAAACAUGAAGGAAAACUUAAGGAUAGCAAGAAAGUAGAAAGAUGGAGAAAAGCUCUCCACGAAACCGCUAAUAUAUCUGGUUGGCAUUACAAGCAUAGUUGCGACGAGUUCAAAUUUAUCCAAGGAAUUGUUGAAGAGAUCUCAAAUUCUAAAUUUAAUCGAACACCAUUAUUUGUUGCACGAUACCCAAUUGGAAUAAAUUAUCGUGUAAAGCCCAUUCUUUUAGAUAUGGAGUCAAAUGAUAGUCAUAUAAUAUGUAUCAAUGGCCCUGGUGGAAUAGGUAAGACAACAAUUGCAAAAGCUAUUUUUAAUAGAAUUUGUGAUCAUUUUGAUGGAUUUGGUUAUCUAGAAAAUUUAAGAGAAAGAUCGGGGACAGAUGCUGGUGUAAUCAAACUACAAGAGACACUUCUUUUUGAGGUCUUAAGAGAUAGAAAUUUAAAGGUGGGUAGCAAAUCUAGAGGUGUCAAUAUGAUAAAGGAAAGACUUUCAUUUAUGAGGAUUCUUUUAGUUCUUGAUGAUGUGGAUAAAUGGAUCCAAAUAGAAAAUUUGCUUGAAAGAUGUGAUUGGUUUGCUUAUGGAAGCAAAAUCAUUAUAACAACAAGAGACAAACACUUGACAGCUACACUUGGAAAUUGUUGUUCAACCUACUCGAUUAAGGAAUUAGAUCAAGAUGAAGCCCUUGAACUUUUUAGUAUGCACACCUUCCAAAGCAACAAACCCAAAGAUGAUUAUUUGGAACUUGCAGAUAGAGUUAUACAACAUACCAAGGGAUUGCCAUUGGCUCUAGUAAUAAUUGGUGCUGAUUUGUGUGGAAGAACAAAACCUGAAUGGAUAAGUGCAAUAGAAAAGUAUGAAAGAAUUCCUAAUGAAGAAAUUAAAAAAAUACUCGAAAUAAGUUAUGAAGGAUUGGAUAAAACUGAAAAAGAUAUUUUCCUUGAUAUUGCAUGCUUCUUUGAGGGAUUUCUUAAGAAGUAUGUCAUUGAUAUACUGGAUGCUUGUAAUUUAUAUCCAAUUUUUGGAAUUCAAAGACUUAUCGAUAAGUGCCUAAUAACUGUUGGUCAAUAUGAUAAAUUAUUGAUGCAUGACUUGCUUCAACAAAUGGGUAGGGACAUUGUUCAACGGGAAUCACCAGACUUGCCUGGAGAGCGCAGUAGGCUAUGGUGUUAUGAGGAUGUUCAUAAAGUACUAAAACAAAAUACGGGAUCGGAAAAAAUUCGAGGCAUAAGGAUAUGCUCACCUGAGCCAUCAAAGAUGAAAUUGGAACCUAAAUGUCUUGAAAAGAUGAAAAAUCUCAAGUUUCUCAUAGUUAGUAAUGUAGAUAUUUGUAGAGGUCUCAAAUAUCUUCCUAAUGAAUUAAGGGUUCUUGAUUGGUCUGGAUAUCCUUUAUCUUCCUUACCAUCCAAUUUUGAUCCUAAAAAUCUCAUUGCACUCAACAUGCCAGAAAGUCGGGUUACAUUGGACAAGCUUUUCAAGAGGAUACAAUGCAAAAACUUGACAUAUAUGAAUUUCAAUUCCAAUCAAUACAUUAGGAAAUUACCUGACUUAUCGAGUGCCACCCCAAACAUAAAAAAAUUGGAUCUCCGUGACUGUAGAAGAUUAGUCAAUGUUCCUGACGCUGUUGGAUAUCUUGAUAAGCUUGAAUGCUGGGACCUCUGGAAUUGCGUUGAACUUCAAACUCUUCCAAGCUGUAUUGUGAUGAAAUCUCUUAAACAUUUAAAUCUUUUUGAAUGCGUAAGGUUUAAGAGGUUCCCUCAUAUUCCACAAGAAAUGGAAAAUUUAAAGUAUCUAAGUGUGGGACGCACGGCCAUUACAAAUCUUCCUCCAUCAAUUGGGAAUCUCACUGGGCUUGAGCGAUUAGAGAUAGGUUCUGAUUUCUAUUCGUGUCAUCUUCCAAGUAGCAUUUAUAAAUUGCAACAACUUCGCAUACUCUUCCUUUUUGGUAAUGUCAAAUUUUCACAAGACAUGGAGAUUGGUAGACAAGCAGCAACGCCCAAUUCUUACUGUGGCAUUUCAAAAGAUUGUUUUCCGAAGUUGAAUUUUCUAAAAAAGUUGACUUGCUUCACCCGCUCAGAGAAAUGUUUAUUAUCAAGAAGCAAAGAUUUGAACCUAGAAAGCAUUAUCAGAUUCAAUAGAUUAAAAAGGCUUCUAAUUCGGGAUUCCAAGUUCCUUAUGAAAAUUCCUAAGCUUCCAGAAAGUAUAAGACAAGUAGAUGCAACAAACUGCAUCUCGUUGAAUUCAGAAUCAUUAAGAAAAUUAAUCCUUCAGUUUGGAAGAAAUUUAGGGCUUUCACCAGAUAUGAAAUGUUCAGGUGUGAAAUACAAAGUAUUAAUGGAUUCGCAUUCACAUUGCAAAUUAUCGAAUCAGAUUGAUUGCUCUUCUCGAGUCUCUCUCUCCAAGUUCUACGCAAUUGAAGAUGAGUACUUUCCUACUCUAGAUGCAUAUCUGGUUGAUUUUGGAGAGAGAUAUGAUAUUCUAGUACCAGGAAAGAAGAUUCCGAAUUGGAUCAAUCAUCAAAGCAUUGAAAGUUCCAUAUCAUUCUGGGUUGGUCUUGAGUUUCCAUCAUUUGCUAUUUGUGUUGCUCUUCAUCUAGUUCCGUUGAAGGACAGAUAUGCUAGUAAUGAUAAGUACGAUUCUAUUUGUGAUGAUAUAAUCGAUUGUGUUUUUGAUAUCCACAUUUCUACCGAUAGUCGUAAGCGACGUCACAUGGUUAGGUGGCGUUUUCAUGAUUUGAAGUGUGAUCAUCUUUUGUUUUGCGGUGAACCUCACUGUCAAUUACAGAGGGAAUUCGGAGACUUGAUGCAAGGUGGUCAGAAUCAUAUUGAGGUUUCAUGUAAAAUCGAUCAGUGGGCAAGUAGAAACGGAAAAUAUGCUCCUGUGAUUGCAAGGAUGGGAGUACAUGUGGAAUGCAUAUGUCCUCAGAAUUCCGUUAUCAUCAAACACAAUUCUCAAAAUGUUGAUGACGACAUAGAGGAGCUCACACCUUUACUAUCUCAAAAUGGUUCACAUACGGACUUAGAUGCAUGAGACUCUUUAAGCUCCUCUAGUCCCUGAUGACAUCUGAUUCAAGGCGUCUAGUGGAUAUAGCAAAUGGGCUUGACUUAUGUUUGGGUAUUGACUCAGCAGAUGGUAAUGGGUUUGAUUUGGGUUCUUCUUCAAUAGCCAAUCCCUUUAUAAAAAUAUGACUCCAUUUUCAAUCUGUAUCCACUGUCAAAAAAACUGAGUCCAAUGCGGAAAUAUGCCCAGGUUUUACAAUACUGAGCAGCCAAAUUGGAGUACUUUUCAUAUAAUGACUCAACUGUAACACAAUGUCUUCCUCCUCUAGUCUCUCACAAAAUUGGGCACCUAUCUUUGCCAAUUGAUUCAAGGCUUCAAUUAGAUGUGACAAAUGGGUCUGACUCGGGUUUGGGAUCUGACUCAACUUUUGGAGAUGGGUUUGAUUUAGCUCCCUCUUCAAUGGCCUAUUCCUCUAUAAACUAUGAUUCAAACUUCAAUCCAUAUCCACAGUUGAAGAAAAAGAUCCUCUUGAUCAAAUUUCUAGAAAACAUGACAAGCAUCUAGAAAUUGCCAGAUUUUGUUUCAGUUAAGGAAAGGCUUACCAUGAAAAGAAAAAGAGAUGAGAUGAUUAGUAAAUUAGUGGAUCAAUAAAGGGUUCCAAUAGAUGUGACAGGUGGGUCUGACUUUGAUAUGGGAUUUGCUUUAAAAGUUGAACAUGGGUUUAUUUUGGGUUCCUCUUCACUGGCCUAUCCCUCGGUGAAUGAUGAUUCCAAUUUCAAUUCAUAGCCACAGUCAAAGAAAAUUAAAAUCUCUUGAUCAAAUUUCAAGGAAACAUAGCAAGGGAUUUAUAUGUUCUCCUAGCUCUUGACUUUUAAUGUAAAAGUCUUUCUUGGUGUUUUCAUGCUAAGGACUUGAAAUUAAAUUUUUAAGGUCUAAGGGACACUUUUAUUGGCUUGAUCUGUUCAAGAUAACCAAAAAAAAAAAAAAAGGGGACAAGCAUUUGUGCAGUUGGUAAAGAGGAUGACCUCUGUUGCCAAUAGUGAGCUUGAUGAAAGAGUAAUGGGCAUCAUGGAUCUCCUCAAUUAGAAUGGCUUUGCUUGGGAUGAAAUUUGCAAAAUAGUGGCAGCUAAUGUUGAGCUUUGGGAAGCUUAUAUCAAGGAUCAUCUGGAUGCAAUUGCUCAUAGAGAUAGGAUCACAUAUUUGUGAAUUGUGCUUGAUUAAUGUUAAUGAAAGUCAAAAUGGAAGAUCAAGUAGUUUGGACAUGACAAUGGAGAUCAACAAUAUUGCCCUUCCAAUGGGGUCAAUGAUAUAACUGGGAUAUGCAAUAUCCAACUAGGGAGUUUGAAAUAUCUUAUCAGUGGAAAUAAUAGAAAGUUUGUAACUUCUUAAGCCUUUGCAUGAUCUCAAAAAGUUCAAAGAACAUCUAGGAAGAGAUACAAGAAGCAAUUGACCAAAUGCCAUGAGUAGUCAAAACUGUUCCUAACAUAGAUGAGAAGCUCUUUUUGGAGGCUUGUGAACUUUUAAAAGAUGAGAGAGUGGCCAAGAAAGAUUUCUGGGAAUUCAUUCUUCAAAUGUUUGGAAUAUGGUACCAGCAUGUCACAAUGCCCAAACAUUUUAUGGAAAUUGAAAGACCUAUAGAUCGGUUGAAGUCUUUGCUACUUAGGACUUUAUUUGAGUGGUUUCGUAUUUGGGGUUUUAUGCAUUGUAUUUCUUUAUUUGAUUUCCUUAAUUUUGUUAGCUAAUCCUUUUGAUUAUUUGGUAUUUCAUUUCUUUGUAGUGGUUUACUAUUGUACACUCAUUGUACUUUUCUUAUCAAUAAAGAUUUUAUUACCUAUCAAAA